rnacentral:lncRNA from 13 species
AUGAGUGAAUUAAUGAACUGCAUAGAACAAGAGAUGACAAGAGACAGAGUUGUCCAAGAUAUUGGGAGCCCACCUCUCACAUCUGUGUCCCCUGGAGUGAGACAUAGAGUCAAAGAAAAUUGUUUUGGAGCUUUAAGGUUUAAUGAAUGCCCUGCUGGGUUUUGGACUUCCACAGGGACUAUGGACCCUUCGUUUUGGCCAAUUUCUUGAAUUUGAAACAAGUUCUAGGAUACAUGUGCAGAACAUGCAGUUUUGUUACAUAGGAACACACGUGCCAUGGUGGUUUGCUGGACCCAUCAACCCAUCAUCUACAAAAAUUUUAAA